rnacentral:rRNA from 1 species
AUUGAACGCUGGCGGCAUGCUUUACACAUGCAAGUCGAACGGUAACAGGCCUUCGGGUGCUGACGAGUGGCGAACGGGUGAGUAAUGCAUCGGAACGUGCCCAAUCGUGGGGGAUAACGUAGCGAAAGUUACGCUAAUACCGCAUAAGCCCUGAGGGGGAAAGCAGGGGAUCGCAAGACCUUGCGCGAAUGGAGCGGCCGAUGUCAGAUUAGCUAGUUGGUGGGGUAAAGGCCUACCAAGGCGACGAUCUGUAGCGGGUCUGAGAGGAUGAUCCGCCACACUGGGACUGAGACACGGCCCAGACUCCUACGGGAGGCAGCAGUGGGGAAUUUUGGACAAUGGGCGCAAGCCUGAUCCAGCCAUGCCGCGUGCGGGACGAAGGCCUCGGUUGU